rnacentral:misc_RNA from 1 species
GCAAGCAUAAAUAGUUCACCACAACAUCUAUAAUACAACUAUUGCACAAGAAUUUCAGGAAGUCUAAAUGCCAUGAUACUACACAGGUUAUAUCUGAUGAAGCCAGAAUAAUAAACACAGUCCAGGCAGCAGUUAUAAAACUAUAGAGUGAUGUGAAUGCAAAAAUACCAACAUUAAGGUCUUGUUUAGUUCAAAUGGCCUAAUUCCUGAAAGUUCAAGUAACUUAAUUAGGUUAAGGUAAGUAAGUUACUUGUUGGAAAGCGAAAAAAAUGAGAGCCUUAACUUCCCAGGAAGUCCAAAAUUAUGGCCAACCAAACAAGUAAAAUUCUAGCACUUCCUGGGAACUUGAAGAUCCUGAACAAAGUUACUCCCAACUAAAAGACCAAAUACUUUAGAUAAAGGAGUCUAUCAUCAUCAAGGUGAGUGAAAGUGAAGUGUUUAGACACCUUGCAAGAUUAGAUCCAUAAAUAUCGCUACAAGGUAACUAACCUUCACCUCAUUUCGUAAACAAGUUGCACAUAUAGUCAUAUAAUGCCUAGCUACAGUAUUGACUAGUGUGAACACAUGUCAAGGAGCUAAUUUACAAGGUGAGAAAAUAUAUA